rnacentral:rRNA from 1 species
GACGAACGCUGGCGGCGUGCUUAACACAUGCAAGUCGAACGGAAAGGCCCUGCUUUUGUGGGGUGCUCGAGUGGCGCACGGGUGAGUAACACGUGAGUAACCUGCCCUUGACUUUGGGAUAACUUCAGGAAACUGGGGCUAAUACCGGAUAGGAGCUCCUGCUGCAUGGUGGGGGUUGGAAAGUUUCGGCGGUUGGGGAUGGACUCGCGGCUUAUCAGCUUGUUGGUGGGGUAGUGGCUUACCAAGGCUUUGACGGGUAGCCGGCCUGAGAGGGGGACCGGCCACAUGGGGACUGAGAGACGGCCCAGACUCCUACGGGAGGCAGCAGGGGGGAAUAUUGCACAAUGGGCGGAAGCCUGAUGCAGCAACGCCGCGUGCGGGAUGACGGCCUUCGGGUGGUAAACCGCUUUCGCCUGUGACGAAGCGUGAGUGACGGUAAUGGGUAAAGAAGCACCGGCUAACUACGUG